UACGGAGGGGGCGAGCGUUAUUCGGAAUUAUUGGGCGUAAAGGGCGCGUAGGCGGCUCGCUAAGUCGGAUGUGAAAACUCUGGGCUCAACCCAGAGCCUGCAUUCGAAACUGACGAGCUGGAGUUCUGGAGGGGAAAGCGGAAUUCCUGGUGUAGCGGUGAAAUGCGUAGAUAUCAGGAGGAACACCGGUGGCGAAGGCGGCUUUCUGGACAGAAACUGACGCUGAUGCGCGAAAGCUAGGGGAGCAAACAGG
rnacentral:rRNA from 1 species